rnacentral:rRNA from 1 species
CCUACGGGAGGCAGCAGUAAGGAAUAUUGGUCAAUGGACGCAAGUCUGAACCAGCCAUGCCGCGUGKAGGAURAAGGUCCUGUGGAUUGUAAACUUCCUUUAUAUGGGACGAAAAAGGGCCUUUCUAGGUCAACUGACGGUACCAUGUGAAUAAGCACGGG